GACGAACGCUGGCGGCGUGCUUAACACAUGCAAGUCGAGCGGAGCGGCGAACGGGUGCGUAACGCGUGAGUAACUGCCCCCCCCUCUGGGAUAACAGAUGGAAACGGCUGCUAAUACCGGAUAGUGGGGGAUGACUCGCGUCCUAUCAGCUUGUUGGUGGGGGAGUGGCCUACCAAGGCGGAGACGGGUCGCCGGCCUGCGAGGGCGACCGUCCACAUUGGGCUGCGGUACGGCCCAAACGCCUACGGGAGGCAGCAGUGGGGAAUAUUGCACAAUGUGGGAACCUCUGAUGCAGCAACGCGCGGGUGGGAGGUCGGCCUUCGGGUUGUAAACCGCUUUCAGCCAUGACGCGGUAGUGGCAGAAGAAGCACCGGCUAACUACGUGCCAGCAGCCGCGGUAAUAC
rnacentral:rRNA from 1 species